AAAAUAUACUUUUCAUUAAUUAAAAAGUUUAUUUAUAGAAUUACACAAAAAAAUAAGGCACCAAAAGCAAACAAAGACAGAAGAACUAGUUUUCAUCCGAAGAACAAGCACCACUCUCCUUGUCAUUGUUCUUGGGAUGGAGGCAACUUAGGUCCAGCUUCGGGGCUAUCCGACACAGGCACAUCUUAUAGUCCUCAAAGCCCC
rnacentral:lncRNA from 1 species